AAUCCCAUGGGAUUUUUUUUGGUCCCAUGGGAUAUUUGUUGUCCCAUGGGACAAAAAAAAAUCCCUGGGAUU
rnacentral:sRNA from 1 species